GCCAGUGUAGCAUAGUAGUUUGAGUGUUGGACUAUGACUUUGGAGACAAGGGUUCGAUUCCCAGCUCAGGCA